AAAAAAAAACAAAAAACAAAAAACAACAACAACAACAAAAAACUCCACUUAACAAAACACAAUCUGAUUAGUUUCUGAAUAAAGUAAAUAAAACCUGUAAAAAAAAAAAAGCCACUUUAUCUUCAGGGUUUAGAAACCGUUGUCUAGAAAGACAGAUCAUUCAUCAAGGUAAGUCAAUGGCCAAUAGAGUGGGUCCCAUCUAUACUACCUCUCUCUGUAUAGAUAUAGUGAGGGCUGAUCAAGCUAUGAUACAGAGUAGGGCUUGAUUGCUGAGCAUGAUAUGCAGGAAACAAGUAACUUAAUAAACCCGCCUGACUGAGUCUAGAAGGGGAGCAUUAUUCUCCCUCUUAUUGAUGAGCUGCAAAGCUCACAACCCUCAGAGAGUCUAAACCAGCCCAGGAUACUGGGUCAGUACUCUGAAGAGAGGAACCAGAAGCCCCGAAAAAUACUUGGCCUGACUGUGGCCUUGGUCUCUUCCUGAUAUUCUCCCUCAUCAUGUCUAGGUCUGACUUAGGGAAGAAUCCUCAAGUGCUGAGGGAAUAGUGAGAAUUUAGAAAGGCCAUUCAGAACAUAUGUACUGAGUUCAGCAAGCCACUAUCAUAGUCACCAGGUCAGGGGUCCAUGAGAGUAGUGAACUUACACUACUUGCCCACAAUACUUGGCACAAAGCCUGGCACCUAGCAAAGACUGCCCAAUCCACAUUUGUUGGGUUGAAAUCGAGUCAAGUAUGCACACUUCACCAAUGUGUUUGUCAAAACUGGAGCGAUGCAGAGAAGAUGGCAAGGUCCCAGUGCUAGGAUACAUGCAAAUCCAUAAAGGGAUAUAAACACACACAGGAAUGCUGGGCACAGUGGCUCACGCCUGUAAUCCCAGCACUUUGGGAAGCCAAGGCAGACGGAUCACUUGAGGUCAGGAGUUGGGGACCAGCCUGGCCAAUAUGGUGAAACCCCCCGAUCUCUACUAAAAAUACAAAAAUUAGCUGGGCAUGUUUGUGCACACCUGUAAUUCUAGCUACUCAGGAGGCUGAGGCAGGAGAAUCACUUGAACCCAGGAGGUGGAGGCUGCAGUGAGCCGAGAUCAUGCCACCACACUCCAGCCUAGGCAAGAGA
rnacentral:lncRNA from 1 species